rnacentral:rRNA from 1 species
CAGCAGCCGCGGUAAUACGUAGGGUGCAAGCGUUAAUCGGAAUUACUGGGCGUAAAGCGUGCGCAGGCGGUUAUAUAAGACAGAUGUGAAAUCCCCGGGCUCAACCUGGGAACUGCAUUUGUGACUGUAUAGCUAGAGUACGGCAGAGGGGGAUGGAAUUCCGCGUGUAGCAGUGAAAUGCGUAGAUAUGCGGAGGAACACCGAUGGCGAAGGCAAUCCCCUGGGCCUGUACUGACGCUCAUGCACAAAAGCGUGGGGAGCAAACAGGAUUAGAUACCCCCGUAGUCCCUGUCUCUUAUAC